CUGGAAGCUAACACCUGUUUUAUGUUUUAUUAUUGUUUUAUGUAGUGCUGGACACUAUUUCUACAUGUGAAGAAAAUCAGGCUACCCUGAACAUCUUAAUAUGCAGAGAAUGCUACCAAUAAAUAAAAAAAUGGAAGUAUUACUAGUCAUAUUUCAAAAUAGGCAAAUGAGAUGUACAGCAAUCAAAGAUAUGUUAAUAUAGUGCAUUAUAAUGUACAACAAAAAUCCUAGAUUAGUUGCAAAUGAGAUGGCUUGCCCAGAAAGUACCACACAGCACAGAUCCCCAAAGAGAUAGAAACUUGCUUUAAAAAUGGUACUGCUAUAUCACAAUAUUGUACCUAAGGCAGGACGAGUGUAGACAUACCAUGUGUGACAAACUCAGUGCCACACAGAAAAAUUAUUCCAGAGACAGUUACACAUCAGCCAGAAACAAGUUGGAAGGCAGGCUAACCUGCUUCACGAUGUUUCCCAAGGAAAGAAGAGAUGGAGUAAUCUUACAGAAUUAAAGACAGUUCUGAAAAGAAAAGCUGCCCUGUUUUUCUUUGUGGGUACCACCUUAUAUGUCCAGUGUCAGCACUGUGAGUUCAAAAAAGAGACGAAAGAGGACCUUGAUCCUGAAUGUCUAUGCCAUUCUAGUCUCAGUGAGAGCUCUUCACAGAAUUAAAUUUAUGAUGCGAUAGGGAAUGCAUUGUUACCUUAGAACAUUCACUGCAGAUCUACUCUAGCAGGUGAUACUCAAUUUACCUUAGAUCAAACAAAGUCUCAAGCAGCACUUAUAGCAAGAAAUACAUUGCAAUGCUCAAGGUUGUAUUGCUAGAGUUCUUCCCCUACACUGCUAAAUGGCUGCAUUGUCUCACUGCAAAUUCUGCUGACCUCUGAACAAGCCCAAAUGUUACAGGACUGGAGGAGAGGAGGAACUAGAGAACAAAGCGUGAUAUUCUGGCCCUGGAUGUUCUGGGCAAACCCUGCUCUGCUCACAGCUCACUGCAAAGUGAACUGCUGCAGUUCCUACGAAGUAUAUUUAAUUUGGUCGUGCAGCCCACUGACCUUGCUACCACUGAGAAAAACAACAGUGCUGUCAGUCAUGCUGCAAGCAACUAGAGCAGCUAACACAUUCCCAGUGCCUCAACACAUCCCAGUAUGGGCACAAAUACAUGUGCCCACACACACUUCAGCAUUGCUUAAACCAAUACCAUUAAAAGUUCAUGAGUCAGUAUGUAGUAAAUGUGAGUAUAUAAAUAUAUUUAUACACACACAGAUGCAAACACAUAAAAAUUUUUGAAGUUACUGUGCUACUGUAAAUAUAGAAAUACAUAUUCAUUCUCUCUUCAGACUAUUUCCCUCCAAAAUGCUUUCAAAGAACAAAAAUCUGUAAAAGUACCGUUUAUUUUUACUGCCAUUUUCCUCCUGCCAGUCAUAUUGUCUUAGUUUCAGCCCAUUCUGUUUAGUAUCUAGACUCAAAUAAAAACAGGUGAUAAUUAUUAGUCA
rnacentral:lncRNA from 1 species